rnacentral:rRNA from 1 species
GACGAACGCUGGCGGCGUGCCUAACACAUGCAAGUCGAACGAAGAAUGUUUUUCGGAAUAUUCUUAGUGGCGGACGGGUGAGUAACGCGUGAACAAUCUGCCCCGUACAAAGGGAUAGCCUCGGGAAACCGGGAUUAAAACCAUAUAACGCUUUAGUACCGCAUGGUAAUAAAGUCAAAUCGAUUAAGAGGUAUGGGAUGAGUUCGCGUCUGAUUAGCUAGUUGGUGAGGUAAGGGCUCACCAAGGCGACGAUCAGUAGCCGGCCUGAGAGGGUGAACGGCCACACUGGAACUGAGACACGGUCCAGACUCCUACGGGAGGCAGCAGUGGGGAAUAUUGCACAAUGGAGGGAACUCUGAUGCAGCGACGCCGCGUGAGUGAAGAAGGUCUUCGGAUCGUAAAAACUCUGUCCUUGGUGAAGAAAAGGACGGUAGCCAAGGAGGAAGCCCGGCUAACUACGUGCCAGCAGCCGCGGUAAAAACGUGUAGUGUA